ACUUCCGCCGCGGUCCCGCCCCCAGCGUGGUCGUAACCCAAGGCAACGGCCCAUCCGGCAGCGACCUGAGUAGCUCUUGCCAGUAGGCCGGGACUAGCUGUCUCGGGGCCUUCCAUCCGCUUGGCCCCACAGCACAGGAAAAAGAAGAUAAAGUAGGAGAGGGAUCAGUUUCACAUUCAGUCCUAAGCAGCAACACGGUUGAGAUGUAAUCAUAAAAGCAAAUAUUUCACCCAGGACAUGGAAAAGCGGCGGAUCACCAGAAAGCAGAGAGUCAAACGCUGCAAGCAGAAGCAGUAAGAAGACGCCACGUUUGGAGCAAGGUCUUAUUUACACCUGCCAUGGUCAUCGGCUCGCUCUUUUAGGUCUCCCCAACCCGGCCCCCAAAAAGAGGUUAUAUGCAGAGGUAAUAUAAUAUAUGUACUUUUGAAAAUAACAAAGUCACCGUGGAGAUAAUUUCAAAACAAUUUAUUUUCAUUUUCAGAUACAUUGGACUAUUUCACUGAUGUUAAAAAGAGUAUGACUUGUUUAAAUUUUUUGUUGUUUCUUUUUUGCAGCCUAAUGUUCUGUAAUAGUAACUUGCUUCCAAGUAAAGUAUGAAAAGUUAGUGGAGGGGCCAUGGCUGUGGUCUCUGAUAGGUCAAACUAUACUAUUUUGGAAUGCGUGGAGUUAGAACAAAGUUUUUAUUUUGUUAUUAAUUAGUAAAGCAAUAAAUAAAAUUGUCUUACUAAU
rnacentral:lncRNA from 1 species